AGGAACUUAGGAUAAUACAUAGACCAAGGGCCUUCAAAGCCCUAAGUGGGGGUGAAAAUCUCCCAGUUCCUG
rnacentral:tRNA from 1 species